rnacentral:rRNA from 1 species
GUAAUGCUUGGGAAUCCUGCCCUAGUAGUGGGGGACAACACGGGGGAAACCUCGUGCUUAAUACCGCAUACGUCCUACGGAGAGAAAGUGGGGGAUUUUCGGACCUCACGCUUAUUGGAUGAGCCCAAGUCGGAUUAGCCUGUUGGUGAGGUAACGGCUCACCAAGGCGACCGAUCCGGUAGCUGGUCUGAGAGGACGAUCAAGCCACCACUGGGAUUGAGACACGGCCCAGACUCUUACGGGAGGCAGCAGUGGGGGAAUAUUUGGACAAUGGGGGCAACCCUUGAUCCAGCAAUGCCGCGUGUGUGAAAGAAGGCUCUCCGGGUUGUAAAGCACUUUCAGUAGAGAAGAAAAGCUUAGGGUUAAUAACCCUGGGUCUUGACGUAACCUACAGAAGAAGCACCGGCUAACUCCGUGCCAGCAGCCGCGGUAAUACGGAGGGUGCGAGCGUUAAUCGGAAUUACUGGGCGUAAAGCGCGCGUAGGCGGCUUGGCCAGUCGGAUGUGAAAGCCCCGGGCUUAACCUGGGAAUUGCAUUCGAUACUACCAAGCUAGAGUAUGGGAGAGGGAAGUGGAAUUUCCGGUGUAGCGGUGAAAUGCGUAGAUAUCGGAAGGAACACCAGUGGUG